rnacentral:tRNA from 1 species
GGCUGGAGAGAUGGCUCAGUGGUUAAAAGCACUGACUCUUCUUCCAGAGGUCCUGAGUUCAAUUCCCAGCAGCCA